rnacentral:rRNA from 1 species
UAGAGUAAUGCGUGACCAACCUGCCCCAUGCUCCAGAAUAGCUCUUGGAAACGGGUGGUAAUGCUGGAUGCUCCAACUUGACGCAUGUCUUGUUGGGAAAGUGUUUAGUGGCAUGGGAUGGGGUCGCGUCCUAUCAGCUUGUAGGCGGGGUAAUGGCCCACCUAGGCUUCGACGGGUAGCGGCCUGAGAGGGCGGACGGCCACAUUGGGACUGAGAUACGGCCCAGACUCCUACGGGAGGCAGCAGCC